ensembl:processed_transcript
AGUCUUUAUUUCAUUACUAAUAGACAGCUCGCUAAGUUCUAAAUAACUGUAAGUGCAUCCUGAAUCGCAUACUAAUGCACUAUUUUAUGCCUAUUUGUAGUGCAUUCAUACUUUUAUUCUAAAAAGAGUGCACUUUAUAAACCCAGAUGGUGCACUUAUUCAACUGUGAACAUGAACUCUUUUCACAUUUCCGGGUUUCUCGGUAGUGGAAGUUGUCAUAGUUGGGUAAACUUAGUGUGCAGUGAAUGGGAGAGUACAACAAAUAAUUUUUUACAAUCCUAUUUGCUGAAAUAAUAAAAGAAAAACUCCAUGAUGUUGUUAUUAAGAUAUUCAGAAAAAGGUAAACAAAAAUAAAUAGUGUGAGACUGAUAACGGCAGCCAGAAGGGUUGGGUUGAUAGACAAUGCCAACGUCCAUUGGCAAUGGCCGAUAGACAUCACAAUGGUGAGCCAGCAUCGUGAUCCUCCACCCUGUCGCAGCAGCAACCCGCUCAAAAAAAAAAAACAAUUAAAAAAAAAAAAAAAAAAAAAAAA